GGGCCCGUAGCUCAACUGGAUAGAGCGUCUGGCUUCGAACCAGCAGGUUAGGGGUUCAAGUCCCCUCGGGCCCU
rnacentral:tRNA from 3 species